rnacentral:rRNA from 1 species
GUCGAACGGGAUCCAGGCUUCGGCCUGGUGAGAGUGGCGGACGGGUGAGUAACGCGUGGGAACCUGCCCAAUGGUCUGGGAUAACCGCGGGAAACUGCGGCUAAUACCGGAUAAGCCCGAGAGGGGAAAGAUUUAUCGCCGAUGGAGGGGCCCGCGUCAGAUUAGGUAGUUGGUGGGGUAAUGGCCUACCAAGCCUACGAUCUGUAGCUGGUCUGAGAGGAUGAUCAGCCACACUGGGACUGAGAUACGGCCCAGACUCCUACGGGAGGCAGCAGUGGGGAAUAUUGGACAAUGGGGGCAACCCUGAUCCAGCAAUGCCGCGUGAGUGAUGAAGGCCUUAGGGUUGUAAAGCUCUUUUGGCGGGGACGAUGAUGACGGUACCCGCAGAAUAAGCCCCGGCUAACUUCGUGCCAGCAGCCGCG